AUGUAUUACCAAGUUGAGCAAAUCAUGAGUAUAUUGAUGCUGGGAGCCAGAAUUCUCACUGUGGAAGAAGGAAUAUGCCAACAUGGAACAGGAGAAAGCAGCCUUUUCCCCCCUCGCCAAUCAAACCCGCUGUUAUUGAAAACCAUGUGGCAGAGGAAACUAGAUCUGAUUUUUCGCCCAGAGGGACGUGGAGAAAGCGCCAGGCUCCAAAACCUAUGCCGCCACCUGGGUGACCUUGGACGAGUCGGCUGACCUCUGCCAGUCUCAGUGUCCUCACUUCCACAAGCUGGAGGUGACCUCUG